rnacentral:rRNA from 1 species
GGGCCCGCACAAGCGGUGGAGCAUGUGGUUUAAUUCGAUGCAACGCGAAGAACCUUACCAGGGCUUGACAUACUACAGAUUCUUUAGAGAUAGAGAAGUGCCUUCGGGAAUGUAGAUACAGGUGGUGCAUGGCUGUCGUCAGCUCGUGUCGUGAGAUGUUGGGUUAAGUCCCGCAACGAGCGCAACCCUUAUUUUUAGUUACCAAUUCGUUGGGUUCUCUAGAAAGACUGCCGGUGACAAACCGGAGGAAGGUGAGGAUGACGUCAAGUCAGCAUGCCCCUUAUGUCCUGGGCUACACACGUGCUACAAUGGUUAAGACAAAGAGUUGCGAGCUCGCGAGAGUAAGCUAAUCUCAUAAACUUAGCCUAAGUUCAGAUUGUAGGCUGCAACUCGCCUACAUGAAGUUGGAAUCGCUAGUAAUCGC